rnacentral:lncRNA from 1 species
GCUGGGGUCUCUCAUCUUGGAUCUGGAUAUCAUUCUCCUCGCGAUCCUCUACCAUUCCAUCUAUUGCCAAUUGCUCCUCCAAAAACCACCAAAGCUAAGCUACCACUGUUUGAGCUCGAAGCUGAGUUCUCCCUUUUGAGAACCUCACUCUGGAGAAUCAUCAUAGUGACCUUACUUAUCUUGAUAGUCCUCUUCUUUACUAGAAGAGCAG